rnacentral:rRNA from 1 species
ACGCUCGACACCUACGGGAGGCAGCAGUGAGGGAUAUUGGUCAAUGGGGGAAACCCUGAACCAGCAACGCCGCGUGAGGGAUGACGGUCUUCGGAUUGUAAACCUCUGUCCUCUGUGAAGAUAAUGACGGUAGCAGAGGAGGAAGCUCCGGCUAACUACGUGCCACAGCCGCGGUAAUCUGAGCGGGCUGGCAAGGC